rnacentral:rRNA from 1 species
UACGGAGGAUGCGAGCGUUAUCCGGAUUCAUUGGGUUUAAAGGGUGCGUAGGCGGCUUCUUAAGUCAGUGGUGAAAUCCUGCGGCUCAACCGUAGAACUGCCAUUGAUACUGAUAAGCUUGAAUAUAGUUGAGGUAGGCGGAAUGUGCAGUGUAGCGGUGAAAUGCUUAGAUAUUGCACAGAACACCGAUUGCGAAGGCAGCUUACCAAGUUAUAAUUGACGCUGAGGCACGAAAGCGUGGGGAUCGAACAGG